AUACAUUUUCGUUGGCUUUGGGAAGGCGCUUCCUCGUAUUAUUUAUAUUUCAGUUUAUUAUGCAAUAUAUUUCCAACUUAUACGACCACAUGAGGAUCAUGCGCAUGCGACAAGUUUGCUCCACAUUUUGACUCUGCGCCGCCGUGCUUCACCCUCGCCCCUCGCCUCGUCACGAAGGAGUCAUCGCCAUUAGCAUCAUCGGAAUGUCGUUGGAACCGUUGCAAGACGUUUGAACGGUCUCCGCGCUCGCUCGUCCAUUUGUGAACAAAGGAGGCCGUGAUUUUGCGUCGUAUGGGCGGCUGCAGUGUUGCGUCCCGUCAGGCCAUGAAAGAAGGAAGGAGGAUAUGAUUUUGCGUCGUAAUGGGUUUUUGUUGUUUGUUCGGAGCAGCGGCUGCAGUGUUGCGUCCCGUCAGGCUCUACUUUGUUGAACACUAAGCUGGACACAUAUCUCUCCAGCGCUUCAGAGACGUCGCUGGCGCCGAAAUUCUAGCUGUUUCACCGUGGGUCGCCAG